rnacentral:rRNA from 1 species
AUUGAACGCUGGCGGCAUGCCUUACACAUGCAAGUCGAACGGUAACAGGCCUUCGGGCGCUGACGAGUGGCGAACGGGUGAGUAAUGCAUCGGAACGUGCCCAGUCGUGGGGGAUAACGCAGCGAAAGCUGUGCUAAUACCGCAUACGAUCUAUGGCUGAAAGCGGGGGACCGUAAGGCCUCGCGCGAUUGGAGCGGCCGAUGUCAGAUUAGGUAGUUGGUGGGGUAAAGGCUCACCAAGCCAACGAUCUGUAGCUGGUCUGAGAGGACGACCAGCCACACUGGAACUGAGACACGGUCCAGACUCCUACGGGAGGCAGCAGUGGGGAAUUUUGGACAAUGGGCGCAAGCCUGAUCCAGCAAUGCCGCGUGCAGGAAGAAGGCCUUCGGGUUGUAAACUGCUUUUGUACGGAACGAAACGGCGAGCUCUAAUACAGUUUGCUAAUGACGGUACCGUAAGAAUAAGCACCGGCUAACUACGUGCCAGCCGCCGCGGUAACAC